GACGUAGGGCGCGAGCGUUGUCCGGAUUUAUUGGGCGUAAAGAGCUCGUAGGCGGCUUGUUGCGUCGUCCGUGAAAACCUGGGGCUCAACUCCAGGCUUGCGGACGAUACGGGCAGGCUAGAGUUCGGUAGGGGAGAGUGGAAUUCCUGGUGUAGCGGUGAAAUGCGCAGAUAUCAGGAGGAACACCGGUGGCGAAGGCGGGUCUCUGGGCCGAUACUGACGCUGAGGAGCGAAAGCGUGGGGAGCGAACAGG
rnacentral:rRNA from 1 species